rnacentral:rRNA from 1 species
UACGUAGGGGGCAAGCGUUGUCCGGAAUCAUUGGGCGUAAAGAGCGCGUAGGCGGCCCAGUCAGUCCGCUCUGAAAGUCAGGGGCUCAACCCCUGAAUGCGGGUGGAUACUGCUGGGCUAGAGUCCGGAAGAGGCGAGUGGAAUUCCUGGUGUAGCGGUGAAAUGCGCAGAUAUCAGGAGGAACACCAAUGGCGAAGGCAGCUCGCUGGGACGUGACUGACGCUGAGACGCGAAAGCGUGGGGAGCAAACAGG